rnacentral:rRNA from 1 species
AUUGAACGCUGGCGGCAGGCCUAACACAUGCAAGUCGAACGAGUGGCGGACGGGUGAGUAAUGUCUGGGAAACUGCCUUGUGGCGGGGGAUAACUACUGGAAACAGUAGCUAAUACCGCAUACUAUCGGAUCUGCCCAGAUGGGAUUAGCUAGUUGGUGGGGUAAAGGCUCACCAAGGCGACGAUCCCUAGCUGGUCUGAGAGGACGACCAGCCACACUGGAACUGAGACACGGUCCAGACUCCUACGGGAGGCAGCAGUGGGGAAUAUUGGACAAUGGGCGAAAGCCUGAUGCAGCCAUGCCGCGUGUAUGAAGAAGGCCUUCGGGUUGUAAAGUACUUUCGGCGGGGAGGCGUUACCCGCAGAAGAAGCACCGGCUAACUCCGUGCCAGCAGCCGCGGUAAUAC